CAUAAUCAUUAGUUUUUUAAUUGGGGGCUUGUAUGAAAGAUUGAACAAGAAAAAAACUGUUUCUGUAAUAAGAUUUGAAUUUAACUUUUAAGUUAAAAGGCUUAAAUAAUCUAGAGGGACGAUAAGACCCUAUAAAUCUUUAUAUAAGAAAAAAAUUAAUGUGUAUAGAUUGUAAAAUUAAAUUUUGUAUUAUAUUUAAUUGGGGCGAUAAAAUUAUAAAUUUAAAUAACUAGUUAUAAGUGAAGACAAAUUGUUUGAGUAUUAGUUGAUCUUAAAUAAGGAAUAAUAGAUUAAGUUACUUUAGGGAUAACAGCAUAAUUUCUUUUGAAAGUUCAUAUUGAAGAAGAAGAUUGUGACCUCGAUGUUUAAUUAGAAUUUCUUUAUAGUGCAGCAGCUAUAAAAG
rnacentral:rRNA from 1 species